rnacentral:rRNA from 1 species
GUGCCGGCGUGACUAUACAUGCAAGUCGAACGAUGAAGCUUCUAGCUUGCUAGAGUGCUGAUUAGUGGCGCACGGGUGAGUAACGCAUAGGUUAUGUGCCUCUUAGUUUGGGAUAGCCAUUGGAAACGAUGAUUAAUACCAGAUACUCCCUACGGGGGAAAGAUUUAUCGCUAAGAGAUCAGCCUAUGUCCUAUCAGCUUGUUGGUAAGGUAAUGGCUUACCAAGGCUAUGACGGGUAUCCGGCCUGAGAGGGUGAACGGACACACUGGAACUGAGACACGGUCCAGACUCCUACGGGAGGCAGCAGUAGGGAAUAUUGCUCAAUGGGGGAAACCCUGAAGCAGCAACGCCGCGUGGAGGAUGAAGGUUUUAGGAUUGUAAACUCCUUUUGUUAGAGAAGAUAAUGACGGUAUCUAACGAAUAAGCACCGGCUAACUCCGUGCCAGCAGCCGCGGUAAUACGGAGGGUGCAAGCGUUACUCGGAAUCACUGGGCGUAAAGAGCGCGUAGGCGGGAUAGUCAGUCAGGUGUGAAAUCCUAUGGCUUAACCAUAGAACUGCAUUUGAAACUACUAUUCUAGAGUGUGGGAGAGGUAGGUGGAAUUCUUGGUGUAGGGGUAAAAUCCGUAGAGAUCAAGAGGAAUACUCAUUGCGAAGGCGACCUGCUGGAACAUUACUGACGCUGAUUGCGCGAAAGCGUGGGGAGCAAACAGGAUUAGAUACCCUGGUAGUCCACGCCCUAAACGAUGGAUGCUAGUUGUUGGAGGGCUUAGUCUCUCCAGUAAUGCAGCUAACGCAUUAAGCAUCCCGCCUGGGGAGUACGGUCGCAAGAUUAAAACUCAAAGGAAUAGACGGGGACCCGCACAAGCGGUGGAGCAUGUGGUUUAAUUCGAAGAUACACGAAGAACCUUACCUAGGCUUGACAUUGAGAGAAUCCGCUAGAAAUAGUGGAGUGUCUGGCUUGCUAGACCUUGAAAACAGGUGCUGCACGGCUGUCGUCAGCUCGUGUCGUGAGAUGUUGGGUUAAGUCCCGCAACGAGCGCAACCCCCUUUCUUAGUUGCUAACAGGUCAUGCUGAGAACUCUAAGGAUACUGCCUCCGUAAGGAGGAGGAAGGUGGGGACGACGUCAAGUCAUCAUGGCCCUUACGCCUAGGGCUACACACGUGCUACAAUGGGGUGCACAAAGAGAAGCAAUACUGCGAAGUGGAGCCAAUCUUCAAAACACCUCUCAGUUCGGAUUGUAGGCUGCAACUCGCCUGCAUGAAGCUGGAAUCGCUAGUAAUCGCAAAUCAGCCAUGUUGCGGUGAAUACGUUCCCGGGUCUUGUACUCACCGCCCGUCACACCAUGGGAGUUGUGUUUGCCUUAAGUCAGGAUGCUAAAUUAGCUACUGCCCACGGCACACACAGCGACUGGGGUGAAGUCGUAACCAAGGUAAGCCCGUA